rnacentral:rRNA from 1 species
UACGUAGGGUGCAAGCGUUAAUCGGAAUUACUGGGCGUAAAGGGUGCGCAGGCGGUUUAUCAAGAAAGGUGUGAAAUCCCCGGGCUCAACCUGGGAAUGGCACUUUUAACUGAUAGGCUAGAGUAUGUCAGAGGGGGGUAGAAUUCCACGUGUAGCAGUGAAAUGCGUAGAGAUGUGGAGGAAUACCGAUGGCGAAGGCAGCCCCCUGGGAUAAUACUGACGCUCAUGCACGAAAGCGUGGGGAGCAAAC